rnacentral:rRNA from 1 species
UACGGAGGAUCCAAGCGUUAUCCGGAUUUAUUGGGUUUAAAGGGUGCGUAGGCGGCCUGUUAAGUCAGGGGUGAAAGACGGUAGCUCAACUAUCGCAGUGCCCUUGAUACUGAUGGGCUUGAAUGUACUAGAGGUAGGCGGAAUGUGACAAGUAGCGGUGAAAUGCAUAGAUAUGACAUAGAACACCGAUUGCGAAGGCAGCAGGCUACACAAAUAUUGACGCUGAGGCACGAAAGCGUGGGGAUCAAACAGG